rnacentral:rRNA from 1 species
UACGUAGGUCCCGAGCGUUGUCCGGAUUUAUUGGGCGUAAAGCGAGCGCAGGUGGUUUAUUAAGUCUGGUGUAAAAGGCAGUGGCUCAACCAUUGUAUGCAUUGGAAACUGGUAGACUUGAGUGCAGGAGAGGAGAGUGGAAUUCCAUGUGUAGCGGUGAAAUGCGUAGAUAUACGGAGGAACACCGGUGGCGAAAGCGGCUCUCUGGCCUGUAACUGACACUGAGGCUCGAAAGCGUGGGGAGCAAACAGG